GACGAACCGUGCGAACGUUAUUCGGAAUCACUGGGCUUAAAGGGCGCGUAGGCGGGCUCGCAGGUCAGGGGUGAAAGCCCACGGCUCAACCGUGGAAGUGCCUUUGAUACCGUGAGUCUCGAGGGAGGUAGGGGCGUGCGGAACUUCCGGUGGAGCGGUGAAAUGCGUAGAUAUCGGAAGGAACACCGGUGGCGAAAGCGGCGCGCUGGACCUCUUCUGACGCUGAGGCGCGAAAGCCAGGGGAGCGAACGGG
rnacentral:rRNA from 1 species